rnacentral:rRNA from 1 species
UACAGAGGGUGCAAGCGUUAUUCGGAAUCACUGGGCGUAAAGCGCGCGUAGGCGGUUUAGCAAGUCUGAUGUGAAAGCCCCAGAUUCAAUCUGGGAAGUGCAUUGGAUACUGCUAGGCUGGAAUGCAGGAGAGGAAGGUGGAAUUCCAGGUGUAGAGGUGAAAUUCGUAGAUAUCUGGAGGAACAACAGAGGCGAAGGCGGCCUUCUGGACUGCUAUUGACGCUAAGGCGCGAAAGCGUGGGGAGCAAACAGG